CCUACGGGAGGCUGCAGUGAGGAAUAUUGGUCAAUGGGCGAGAGCCUGAACCAGCCAAGUCGCGUGAGUGAGUACUGCCCUAUGGGUUGUAAACCUCUUUUGUCGGGGAGCAAAAGCCGGACGUGUCCGGCUGUGAGAGUACCCGAAGAAACAGCAUCGGCUAACUCCGUGCCAGCCGCCGCGGUAAUACGAAGGCUGCGAGCGUUAUCGGGAUUUAUGGGGGUUAAGGGGUGCGCAGGCGGAGUUUUAAGUCAGCGGGAAAAUCGUGGUGCUAAACCCCAUCCCGCCGUUGAAACUGGGGAGCUAGAGUGUGCGAGAGGGAUGCGGAAUGCGUGGGGUAGCGGUGAAAUGCAUAGAGAUCACGCAGAACCCCGAUUGCGAAGGCAGCAUACCGGUGAACAACUGACGCUCAGGCACGAAAGCGUGGGUAUCGAACAGGAUUAGAUACCCCAGUAGUC
rnacentral:rRNA from 1 species